ACAGCCAGAUCAUGUUGAAACAGCAGUUCUCAUACAAUCACUAAAGUUAAGCAAUGUUGAGCCUGGUCAGUACCUAGAUGUGUGACUGCUUAAGAAUACCAGGUGCUGUAAG